rnacentral:rRNA from 1 species
GAUGAACGCUGGCGGCGUGCCUAAUACAUGCAAGUCGAGCGAACAGACGAGGAGCUUGCUCCUUUGACGUUAGCGGCGGACGGGUGAGUAACACGUGGGUAACCUACCUAUAAGACUGGGAUAACUUCGGGAAACCGGAGCUAAUACCGGAUAAUAUUUCGAACCGCAUGGUUCGAUAGUGAAAGAUGGCUUUGCUAUCACUUAUAGAUGGACCUGCGCCGUAUUAGCUAGUUGGUAAGGUAACGGCUUACCAAGGCAACGAUACGUAGCCGACCUGAGAGGGUGGUCGGCCACACUGGAACUGAGACACGGUCCAGACUCCUACGGGAGGCAGCAGUAGGGAAUCUUCCGCAAUGGGCGAAAGCCUGACGGAGCAACGCUGCGUGAGUGAUGAAGGUCUUCGGAUCGUAAAACUCUGUUAUUAGGGAAGAACAAACGUGUAAGUAACUGUGCACGUCUUGACGGUACCUAAUCAGAAAGCCACGGCUAACUACGUGCCAGCAGCCGCGGUAAUACGUAGGUGGCAAGCGUUAUCCGGAAUUAUUGGGCGUAAAGCGCGCGUAGGCGGUUUUUUAAGUCUGAUGUGAAAGCCCACGGCCCAACCGUGGAGGGUCAUUGGAAACUGGAAAACUUGAGUGCAGAAGAGGAAAGUGGAAUUCCAUGUGUAGCGGUGAAAUGCGCAGAGAUAUGGAGGAACACCAGUGGCGAAGGCGACUUUCUGGUCUGUAACUGACGCUGAUGUGCGAAAGCGUGGGGAUCAAACAGGAUUAGAUACCCUGGUAGUCCACGCCGUAAACGAUGAGUGCUAAGUGUUAGGGGGUUUCCGCCCCUUAGUGCUGCAGCUAACGCAUUAAGCACUCCGCCUGGGGAGUACGACCGCAAGGUUGAAACUCAAAGGAAUUGACGGGGACCCGCACAAGCGGUGGAGCAUGUGGUUUAAUUCGAAGCAACGCGAAGAACCUUACCAAAUCUUGACAUCCUUUGACCCUUCUAGAGAUAGAAGUUUCCCCUUCGGGGGACAAAGUGACAGGUGGUGCAUGGUUGUCGUCAGCUCGUGUCGUGAGACGUUGGGUUAAGUCCCGCAACGAGCGCAACCCUUAAGCUUAGUUGCCAUCAUUAAGUUGGGCACUCUAAGUUGACUGCCGGUGACAAACCGGAGGAAGGUGGGGAUGACGUCAAAUCAUCAUGCCCCUUAUGAUUUGGGCUACACACGUGCUACAAUGGACAAUACAAAGGGCAGCGAAACCGCGAGGUCAAGCAAAUCCCAUAAAGUUGUUCUCAGUUCGGAUUGUAGUCUGCAACUCGACUACAUGAAGCUGGAAUCGCUAGUAAUCGUAGAUCAGCAUGCUACGGUGAAUACGUUCCCGGGUCU